rnacentral:rRNA from 1 species
AUACGUAGGUGACAAGCGUUAUCCGGAUUUACUGGGCGUAAAGGGCGUGUAGGCGGUCUUGCAAGUCAGAAGUGAAAUUCCUGAGCUCAACCCCUAAAAUGCUUUUGAAACUGUAUCCCUUGAGUAUCGGAGAGGCAGGCGGGAAUUCCUGUGGUGCGGUGAAAUGCGUAAAUAUUAGGAGGAACACCAGUGGCGAAGGCGGCCUGCUGGACGACAACUGACGCUGAGGCGCGAAAGCGUGGGGAGCAAACAGGAUUAGAUACCCUGGUAGUCCACGCUGUAAACGAUGAAUACUAGGUGUGGGGGGACUGACCCCCUCCGUGCCGCAGUUAACACAAUAAGUAUUCCACCUGGGGAGUACGAUCGCAAGAUUGGAACUCAAAGGAAUUGGCGGGG